rnacentral:rRNA from 1 species
ACUUUUAAUAACAGAUCUCUUGGUUCUAGCAUUAAUAAAGAACGCAGCGAAAUGCGAUAAGUAGUGUGAAUUGCAGAAUUUAGUAAAUUAUUAAAUCUUUAAACGCAUAUUACGCCCCUUAGUAUUCUAUAGGGCAUGCCUGUUUAAGCGUUAUUUGUACCCUUAAGCUCUGCUUAGUGUUAGGUGUUUGUUCUACUUAGGACUCGCCUUAAAACAAUUAGCAGCUAGCACAUUAGCCUAGAGCGCAGCACAUUUUACGCCUCUUGUUAUAGUUAUUAGCAUCUAUUAAGACACUUUUUAAGCUCUUAACCUUAGAUUAGGUAGGGAUACCUACUAAACUUAAGCAUAUUAAUAAGCAGAGGAAAAGAAACUAAUAGAGAUUGCCCUAGUAACGGCGAGUGAAGCGGCAACAGCUUAAAUUUAAAAUCUAGCUCUUUUAGGGUCCAAGUUAUAAUUUGCAGAGGGCGCUUUAGUAUUAGCAGUAGUCUAAGUUCCUUAGAAUAGGACGUUAUAGAGGGUAAGAAUCCUAUACGUAGUUACUAGCCUUUGCCGUGUAAAGCCCUUUAAUAACCGUCAUAAGUUAUUUAGGAAUAUAGCUCUAAAUAGGAGGUAAAUUUCUUCUAAAGCUAAAUACUAGCUAGAGACUAAUAGCGCACAAGUAGAGUAAUUAAAAGAUAAAAAGCACUUUAGAAAGAGAGUUAAAUAGCACGUGAAAUUGUUAAAAGGGAAGCGCUUGCAGCUAGACUUACCUGUAGUUACUUAUCUAGGCUUUUGUCUAGUGCACUCUUCUAUAGGCAGGCUAGCAUUAGUUUAGGUAGUUAGAUAAAGGUCUCUAUCACGUACCUCCCUUUAGGGAGGCCUUAUAGGGGAGACGACAUGCAACUAGCCUAGACUAAGGUCUGCGCAUCUGCUAGGAUGCUAGCGUAAUAGCUGUAAGCGGCCUAUCUUAAAACAUAGACUAAGGAGUCUAACAUCUAUGCGAGUGUUUAGGUGUUAAGCCUAGACGCGUAAUAAAAGUGAACGGAGGUAGGAACCCUUUUAGGGUGCACUAUUAACUAAUCCUAAUAUCUUUAGAAGGAUUUAAGUAAGAGCAUAGCUAUUAGGACCUAAAAGAUAGUGAACUAUGCUUAAAUAGGGUAAAGCUAGAGGAAACUCUAGUAGAGGCUCGCAGCGGUUCUAACGUGCAAAUUAAUCGUUAAAUUUGGGUAUAGGGGCAAAAGACUAAUUAAACUAUCUAGUAGCUAGUUCCUACUAAAGUUUCCCUUAGGAUAGUAGUAACGUAUUUAGUUUUAUAAGGUAAAGCGAAUAAUUAGAGGCCUAGGGGUUAAAAUAACCUUUACCUAUUCUUAAACUUUAAAUAUGUAAGAAGUCCUUAUUACUUAAUUAAACGUGGACACUUAAAUGUACUGUUACUAGUAGGCUAUUUUUAGUAAGCAGAACUAGCAAUGCGGGAUGAACUAAACGCGGGGUUAAGGUGCUAGAAUGCACGCUUAUUAGACACCACAAAAGGUGUUAGUUUAUCUAGAUAGCAGGAUAGUAGCUAUAGAAGUUAGAAUCUACUAAGGAGUGUGUAAUAACUUACCUGCUAAAUAAACUAGCCCUAAAAAUAGAUAGCGCUUAAGCGUGUUACCUAUACCCUGCCGCUAGGGCAAGAUUUAAGCCCUAGUAAGUAGGCAGGCGUAGAGGCUCGUGACGAAGCCUUAGGGGUAACCCUAGGUAGAACGGCCUCUAGUGCAGAUCUUAGUGGUAGUAGCAAAUACUUAAAUAAGAACUUUAAGGACUAAAGUAGGGAAAGGUUCCGUGUGAAUAGCAGUUAGACACAGGUUAGUUAAUCCUAAGAGAUAGGGUAAUUCUGUUUUAAUGUUAGUGCUUACGCCACGCCCUUAAAAGGGAAGCUAGUUAAUAUUCUAGCACCUAGAUGUAGAUUCUCCGCGGCAACGCAACUAAGAGCGGAGACCUUAGCAGGAGCCCUAAGAAGAGUUCUCUUUUCUUAACAGUCUGUUACCCUAAAAUUAGUUUGUCUAGAGCUAGGGUUUAAUAGCUAGAAGAGCGCUACACUUUUAUAGCGUUUAGUGCGCUCCUAACAAGCCUUAAAAAUCUACUUAAAGAAAUAGUUUUUACGCUAGGUUAUACUUAUAACCGUAGCAGGUCUCUAAGGUAAAAAGCCUCUAGUUAAUAGAAUAAUAUAGAUAAGGGAAGUUAGCAAAAUAGAUCUAUAACUUUAGGAAAAGGAUUAGCUCUAAGGGUUAGGUACGUUAGGCCUUAGGGAGAAGCCUCUAGCGCAGAAGGGCACUAACCGCAAGGUAGGCGCCUCUUAGCGCUAGGGUGCAGACACCCUUAGCAGGUUUCAGCUAUCUAGCGUACGUUUAACAACUAACUUAGAACUAGUAUAGAUAAGGGGAAUCUAACUAUCUAAUUAAAACAUAGCAUUGCAAUAGCUAGAAAGUAGUAUUAACGCAAUAUAAUUUCUGCCUAGUGCUCUAAAUAUUAAAGCAAAGAGAUUUAACCAAGCGCGGGUAAAUAGCAGGAGUAACUAUAACUCUCUUAAGGUAGCUAAAUACCUUGUUAUCUAAUUAGUGACGCGCAUAAAUAGAUUAACAAGAUUCCUACUGUCCCUAUUUACUAUCUAGCGAAACCACAGCUAAGGGAACAGGCUUAGCUAAAUUAGCAGGGAAAGAAGACCCUAUUAAGCUUAACUCUAGUUUAAUAUUGUAAAAAGAUAUAGGGGGUGUAGAAUAGGUAGGAGCUUUAGCGCUAGUAAAAUACUACUACCCUUAUUGUUUUUUUACUUAUUUAAUAAAGCAGAGCUAGGCCUUACUACCUAACUUCUAGCGUUUAAGGUCCUUUAUAGGCUAAUCUAGGUUAAAGAUAUUAUUAGGUAGGGAGUUUAGCUAGGGCGGCACAUCUAUUAAACUAUAACGCAGGUGUCCUAAGGGGGACUUAUAGAGAAUAGAAAUCUCUAGUAGAGUAAAAGGGCAAAAGUCCCCUUAAUUUUAAUUUUUAGUGUGAAUACAAACUAUAAAAGUGUGGCCUAUUAAUCCUUUAGUCCCUUAAAAUUUAAGGCUAGAGGUGCUAGAAAAGUUACUACAGGGAUAACUAGCUUGUGGCAGCCAAGCAUUUAUAGCGACGUUGCUUUUUAAUCCUUUAAUGUUAGCUCUUCCUAUUAUACUAAAGUAGAAUUUAGUAAGCGUUAGAUUGUUCACCUACUAAUAGGGAACGUAAGCUAGGUUUAGACCGUUGUAAGAUAGGUUAGUUUUACCCUACUAAUAACCUUGCCCUAAUAGUAAUACCGCUUAGUACGAGAGGAACCGCGGUUUUAGAUAAUUAGUUUUUGCGGCUAUCUAACUAGGCAUUGCCGCGAAGCUACUAUCUACUAGAUUAUAGCUAAACGCCUCUAAGUCAGAAUCUAUGCUAGAAUAGGGUGAUUUCUGCCUGCACUAGUUAGAUAUAAAUAGGCCUUUAGCCCAGAACCUUACUAGAUUAGCGUUAGCAGCCCUAUUAAAGUUAGGGUUAUUAGCUAGUGUAUUGUAAUUGUACAGUGCGCAGGAUUAAAUCCUUUAUAGAUAACUUAGUUGUCUAGCUAGGUCGUGUAAGUAGUUAAGUAGCCUUGUUGUUACGAGCUACUAAGCGUAAGCCCGUUGCUAGCUUGGUUAAAAUUGGGAUAUUAUGCCCUCCUUAUUUGCAAAACUGCUGCCUAAAUAGCUGCUAUUAACAGAAGGAAGAGGGCUAUAGCAAAUAAGUUAUAUAGUAAUUGCAAGAUAGAGAGGGCUAGAGCUAGGAGCAAUCCUCGCAAAAUAUACAAAAGAACAGGUUAUGUGUGUACGUACCUUAGGCAGUUAAUAUAUAGUAUAGGAAGAUUAAGAAAGGAUUUAAGAUAAUCUAUACAGAUUUUUAGGCGGUAAUCUAUAACUUAAGAGCGUUCUAUAACUUUUUAUUUUUUAGGGGUCCAGUGUUGCGUAUAACUCUAGGGCGUUCUAUAACUUUAGGGCGUUCUAUAACUUUAGGGCGUUCUAUAACUUUUUAUUUUUUAGGGGUAGUGUUCUAUAACUUUAGGGCGUUCUAUAACUUUAGGGCGUUCUAUAACUUUAGGGCGUUCUACAACUUUUUAUUUUUUAGGGGUAGUGUUCUAUAACUUUAGGGCGUUCUAUAACUUUAGGGCGUUCUAUAACUUUAGGGCGUUCUACAACUUUUUAUUUUUUUGAGGUAGUGUUCUAUAACUUUUGAGCGUUCUAUAACUUUUUCUUUUUUAGAGGUAGUGUUCUAUAACUUUAGGGCGUUCUACAACUUUUUAUUUUUAGGGGUAGCGUUCUAUAACUUUAGGGCGUUCUAUAACUUUAGGGCCUUCUAUAAGCUUAGGGCGUUCUAUAACUUUAGGGCGUUCUAUAACUUUAGGGCGUUCUAUAACUUUUUAUUUUUUAGGGUUAGUGUUCUAUAACUUUAGCGCGUUCUAUACCUUUUAUUUAUUCUAUUACUUUAGUCCUUUCUAUAACUUUAGACUAUUCUAUACUAGUAGCUAUUAUAUCCUUUUUAUAAUACUUAUUAUAUCAUACUAUUAUCUAUUAUUCUUUACUGUUAAGUAUAUCCUUAUAUUUUAUAAAACCUUUUCUCUACUAGCUAGUCCUACUAUACUUUCUUUUAUAACCUACUAGUAUUAAAUAAUACCUUUAUAUUCUUCUUUUAUACUAUCUCUAUUUCUUGCCUUAUCUAUUAAGUAGAUAUAGAUAGAGCUAAUAGAUCUAUAGUUAAUAUAGAUAUAGUAGUUAUAGUAGAGUACAGAUAUUAGAGUAGAUAUCCUUAUCUAUAUAUUUACCUACUACUAAUAAAAUUCCAAGUUACUCUUAUCCAGCGAAUACGGGUUUAUGGUUUGUAUAGGGCUACGCAUGUCUACACAGUUUUACAUACAAAAAAGUGUACCUCUAAGCUAUUUUCCACUACACUAACCCCGCAACGCAAAAAUCAAACCAAAACCUAUUCCUAUAAUAUAUAAGGAGGGCAAAUGGAUUCUUAAAUACUAAAUACCUAACUAACUAACUAAGGUUAAAUCUGCUGCGCGCAGUUCUUGGAUUAGGCGGUUAAACUAGCGUCGUUAGGCACUAAGGGGGCAAUUUUUGCUUGUGUCCGCGUUUAUACUCCCUAUAACUCCCUAUUAUUAGCGCUCUACGCCUGUUUUAGUGGCAGUUAGACUAAAUUUAAAAGUUUUGGUUUUAUAAUAGCUAGCCUUGUUAUCCUAGAUUUCUGCCUAGUUUAGAUUCGCUCUAAUUAGUAGGUAAUUAGGGGCUUAGAGAUUGCUCUUCUACUUAACUAGGCAGGCCUAGGCCUAUAUACUAAAGCAACCCUGCUAUUACGCCUAGUUUUGUAGUUAGCACCUAAAGUCCUACUGUUAAAGUUUUAGCAGUAGGCAAAAUUUAGGGUCUAUAGAUAGCUAGCACUGCUAAACUAUUUAACAGAUCUUAGGGGACAGCCCUGCCUAGCAUCCGCUCCUAGUAAGCGUAGCAAAGCGUAGGUUUUCUCCACUUAAGGCAUGUAUAUGGCGAGUUUAAACACGCAGAAACGCCUAUUAGGCUUUGUUACAGACUAUUCCUUAAGAAACUUAGUAGGGGCAAUUAAAUUAGUUGCUAGUUAUAACUAGUGCCUUGUGUGCUGUUAUACUAGUAGCUAGAAUCGCUUCUGCGAUUUCUUAUCACGUACUUUCUACCUCCUUUUAGGGGUAGUGCUUGUGCGCUUCGGCGUAUUAGGCAUCAGGAUUAUUACCUAGUUAAUUCUACUAGUAGUUAUAUGCUUGU